rnacentral:tRNA from 1 species
AGAGUGGUGGUGAAAUAAUCAUAAGCGGUUGUCGUCCGUUAGUUGCCUGAGUAAUCCAUGCCCAUUCUU